rnacentral:rRNA from 1 species
GAUGAACGCUGGCGGCGUGCCUAACACAUGCAAGUCGAGCGAGAAUCUCAUAAAUGACGCUUCGGUUGAUUUUAUGAGAGGAAAGCGGCGGACGGGUGAGUAACGCGUAGGCAACCUGCCCUUUGCAGAGGGAUAGCCUCGGGAAACCGGGAUUAAAACCUCAUAAUGCCAAGGAAAGACAUCUUUUCAUGGCCAAAGAUUUAUCGGUAAAGGAUGGGCCUGCGUCUGAUUAGCUAGUUGGUGGGGUAACGGCCUACCAAGGCAACGAUCAGUAGCCGACCUGAGAGGGUGAUCGGCCACAUUGGAACUGAGACACGGUCCAAACUCCUACGGGAGGCAGCAGUGGGGAAUAUUGCACAAUGGGCGAAAGCCUGAUGCAGCAACGCCGCGUGAAGGAUGAAGGCCUUUGGGUCGUAAACUUCUGUUCUAAGGGAAGAUAAUGACGGUACCUUAGGAGCAAGUCCCGGCUAACUACGUGCCAGCAGCCGCAGUAAAAC